GAUGAACGCUGGCGGCGUGCCUAAUACAUGCAAGUCGAACGAGGUGCUUGAGUAGCAAUACGAGAGUAUCCUAGUGGCGAACGGGUGAGUAACGCGUUGGUGACCUACCCCAAAGUGUGGGAUAACAGUCCGAAAGGAUUGCUAAUACCGCAUGUGGUUAUCGGAUUUAGAAACUGAUAUCUAAAGGAGCAAUUCGCUUUGGGAGGGACCUGCGUCCCAUCAGCUAGUUGGUGAGGUAAUGGCUCACCAAGGCUACGACGGGUAGGGGACCUGAGAGGGUGACCCCCCANAAUGGAACUGAAACACGGUCCAUACACCUACGGGUGGCAGCAGUAGGGAAUAUUGCUCAAUGGGCGAAAGCCUGAAGCAGCAACGCCGCGUGUGCGAUGAAGGCCCUUCGGGUCGUAAA
rnacentral:rRNA from 1 species